UUGCGUGUACACAUGCUUCUAUGCAUUUUUCUCUGCCCCCUUCUGACCGAGACCCAGACCCAGCCGAUCAUCCCUGUUCUCAAUUCGUCUUGCUGGAGCACACCUGCUCGCUGGGAUACUAGACCGCGCCGCCGCACCCGCGUGAUCUCCUACCCACACGUUUCGUGCCCCCAUGGAAGGAUUUAGUUGAGAUUGGUCCGUAGAAUAAGGGGGGCACAGCUGCCUGCAGAUGGCAGGGCGUGAGAGCCGCCGCCGAGGGUGGAAAGGAGGAGCACGCGAUGGGAACGGGCACACCCACGCCGGCCGAGCUCCACACCAUCCAGCCCACCCCUCUUCGUCGUGCACGGCCGAACAAGAACCAGGCCUUGACAGGUUCUAGAUGUCUCCCCUGUUCUUGUUUUAAAUUUUCGUGAUACGUCACUCCGGCAAUGCAUUCUGAUGGCCUCAUUGCUUAUAUGUUUUCUUCUUCAGUUUCAUAAGUUGCGGCCUUCAUAGUACUUCCAUAGAUACAUUAUAGCCGAUACGCCUGUGAUGUCUAGCGACAAGAGACCGGGAAUCCUAGAAGCUCAUGUCUGUCCAAGGAUUCUCGACAAGCGUCCUCGUGAAUUUCGUGAUUUAGUUUUUUUACUUCUAAAAUUAUAAAUGUUGAUAAGUAUUAUGUCCAUAGCCUCAUGUAUAUGUAGUUUGUCAUUUGCGCAAUGAAUGGCUAGCGAAAAUUGCAAGCUUACUAAUUCAUGUCAUAUAUCCAAUAUUAUUGUGAUGAAUGUUGUACUUUUUAAUCAGGAAUCGUGCACAAAAUUUUGUUGGUAUCCUGAUUGCCAUUGUGGAAGCCGUGACCUGUGUCCUGUGGGAGCCAACUUGGAACUGGGAAUGCUAUUCUCAUUAUACUUUGUUUGCUGGAUCAUUGUCUUAUGUGAUAUGUCUAGAUAAACUUCUUGCGUGUUGACACACAUUAAUUGUUUCUUGCACGUUCUAUACAGGAAGUAUAGUGGAAAUUUCAUUGUUAACCUUCUUGGCAAAUGGAAAUAAUAUGAAUAUUCUGGUCAUUCUGUUACUACUGGUGGUCUUGCUUACAAUGUGACUGCACCAUCCAGGUUCUUCACCGGCUAUAGAUUACUGCAGUGAGUAUAUUCACUAAUUGGUAACGAAUAGAGAAAAGUAUCUUCACGUGGCAGGGUGUCGCCUUGUUGCAUAUAACCAGCUGGAGUUCAUCACUAAGAAUGUAUCGCCUCUACCUGGAGUUCAGCAUUCAAAACCGGGUUGCCUAAAAUUUAGUGGGACCUCAUGCCCAUGUUUCAUAAGCACAUAUGUUUUUAAUACUUUGCUCUAAUAUGCUAUGCCCGUCCAAAAAAUUAUUAUUCUUCCUGCUUUGCCUACUAAACAUGUAUGAUGAUGGCAUAAUGCUUUACUUGGCAUGAUGAUUUGCUUUCUAUUGACUGCUUUGUCCGCACUGACUUCUGUAUACGGCUCAUACAUUACAUGCUAAUCUACACAGCAGCUUGCUUUAGAGAUUUUGUAAUGAAUGAUGGAAGAGGUACUGAAUGAAUUUUAAAGCAUUGCUUAAAUGAUCCAGAUAGUUAUGCUUUGGGUUAGUUUUUUUAUUAGGAUCUCUCUAGGAACUUUUUCCUCUGUACUGUGUUGUUGCCGCUGCAGGCCAGCAAGACGGUUGGUGUCGAUGAUGAAGAUUGCUUGUUUUGUCUGAUAAUGAAAUGAUUUGGACACAUAUAGAGUAUUACCGCCUUUAGCUUGCAAGGUAUGUUACCAUCCCAUGCCCCAUCUGCUUAGCUAACUUUUUGUGCUGAACUAGGAUUUUGGGAUUAGCUAUUUACAGUUAUCGAAGGAGAUGACCCUCUUACAAGACCUCUGAUUGGUGGAUUCUGUUGUUGUCAGUGUCUUGCAUCAUUCAGAGAAAAGUCAAUUUAUUUUUAGCGUCGUUUGCAUGAAAAUUUAAAUAUAUAACAUGGCAAUAUGUGAAGUGGAACAAUUUAUCAGUCCUCAGAAUGCCAGAUUUGACUCCAUUAACUCUGUAGGCUGCGGCAGUUUUUCAAGCUUCGGUUAUUAGGAGAACAGUGUGAUAGGUGUUAAUCAUACAAAAUACUGAUCUAGCCUCAUCAACGGUACUUGGGAAAAUAAAAAUUUCAUGCAUUUACCGGUAUAAAGCUCAGAUAACAUUGUUUAAUAUUCUACUCCCUCUGUUCUGUAACUAGCAAUCAAAGUAACCCUACUGUUGUAUUUGCUCCCUUGUUUACACAUAUAAGAGCCAUAUUCUAACUGUAUGCCAUGUGGACAUGUGGUACUUUGAUUGCCUGCGCCCAAAAGCAAGGCCACGGCCCAAUUAUGGCUCGACGUGUGGACCAAUGUAAAGCACAGAAGCAAGGCCAGCGCCCAGCUCUUGCGAGCCACAUGAGCCUCUCAGGAUUAACCUUACUGUAUCAGUAUCAUUUUCAUACCACGACGAUAAUCUGCAAGACCAGCUUAGUUCAGAGUUUAGGCUGCUCCUGAAUUUCAUUCAUGUGUGCAUCUUUUGUCUAUGUAAACUUGUAAAUCAUGUGUGGCAGCUUAGUUCAGCUUUGAUCCACUUUUCCAUACAUUUUUUUCAUGUAAGAUUGUUGGUUUCUGUAAACAACUAGGUCCCCAUUUGGUAUUUCAUUGGAUACAAACCUGAAUACAAGUGUGUGUGGAGUUCUGUGUGCAAGCAGAGCAGAGGAGAACUUCA